rnacentral:tRNA from 1 species
GGGUCGUUAGCUCAGUUGGUAGAGCAGCGGACUCUUAAUCCGUCGGUCCGGGGUUCGAAUCCCUGACGACCCACCA